CACUCCUACGGGAGGCAGCAGUGGGGAAUUUUGGACAAUGGGCGAAAGCCUGAUCCAGCCAUGCCGCGUGCAGGAUGAAGGCCUUCGGGUUGUAAACUGCUUUUGUACGGAACGAAACGGCCUUUUCUAAUAAAGAGGGCUAAUGACGGUACCGUAAGAAUAAGCACCGGCUAACUACGUGCCAGCAGCCGCGGUAAUACGUAGGGUGCAAGCGUUAAUCGGAAUUACUGGGCGUAAAGCGUGCGCAGGCGGUUAUGUAAGACAGUUGUGAAAUCCCCGGGCUCAACCUGGGAACUGCAUCUGUGACUGCAUAGCUAGAGUACGGUAGAGGGGGAUGGAAUUCCGCGUGUAGCAGUGAAAUGCGUAGAUAUGCGGAGGAACACCGAUGGCGAAGGCAAUCCCCUGGACCUGUACUGACGCUCAUGCACGAAAGCGUGGGGAGCAAACAGGAUUAGAUACCCGUGUAGUCCC
rnacentral:rRNA from 1 species